rnacentral:rRNA from 1 species
UACGUAGGGGGCAAGCGUUGUCCGGAAUUAUUGGGCGUAAAGAGCUUGUAGGCGGUUUGUCGCGUCUGCUGUGAAAUUUCGGGGCUCAACCCCGAACUUGCAGUGGGUACGGGCAGACUAGAGUCUGGUAGGGGGAUCUGGAAUUCCUGGUGUAGCGGUGGAAUGCGCAGAUAUCAGGAGGAACACCGGUGGCGAAGGCGGGAUCCUGGGCCAGUACUGACGCUGAGGAGCGAAAGCGUGGGGAGCAAACAGG